GCCUGGAUAGCUCAGCUGGCUAGAGUGUGGAGCUGACAAUGUCAAGGCUGCAGGUUCGACCCCCGUAUGGGACA